GGACUUGUUGAGGAGAAUCAGUCAAUUAGACGGCAAAGUGGAGGAAUUAGAAGUAGAAAACCACACCCUCCAAUUUAUUGAAGGACAAUACAAGGAUGCGGCUCAUCAAGCCCAGAUGGAGAAAGUCGAACAGAAGGGAAAAUUGGAUGAGUCCCAGUUGCAAGUUGAGAUGCUGAGGGUACAGCUAGAGAAUGAAAAGGCAAAGUUUGGAGAGCUGAGUAUAAAGCAUCUGGAGAUGCAAGCUGAGUUUGAUGUAGAAAUUGCCGAUAAGAUGCGGGUGGAAGAGGCAUUCCAUGAGUCGGAUCAGCUGGUGGGCUAAUUAAAGAUUGAACUGCAGGCCAUAAAGGUCAGAGUAGAAACUUUAGGACUGGCCCUUGAUGCAGCGUAUGAGGACCAGCGCAGUGGGGCUAGGAGGGCACACUAUGAGAUAGGAGAGCCUAGUCGAUCCGUUCGACGUAGAGUCCUGCAGUAGUUGCUUCCCUAGGAGCCUGUUCAGGUGACCUGGCAGGGCCACUAGUGGUGAUGAUGUGAUGGCCCAGUUGUAGAUAGAUGCAUUAGUACCUUUCUUGUUGUGUAAUAAGGUUUUAUGUUGAUGUAAACCUCAACAGGUGUGAGGUAGUAA
rnacentral:lncRNA from 1 species